CCCCCCAGCGUGGCCGUGUGCUGCCCUCUCGGCUGCAGCGGCUCCCCUGGAAAGCGGGGGGUGAGGCUGUAGCUGGGGGUGGUUCCAGCCCUCGCGCCUCUGAGGGGCACGGAGAGGAGCGUGCCGGGAGCUACCUCUUGCCCGAUGGUCACCUCACUGGACACAAACAUCCUGAGUGACCUGGUCAGCCCCAGGCGGGGUCACCACCAGGCAGAGGCCUGGGAUCCGGACUUUGCCCAGCUGAUAAGCGCAGGCCAGGGAUUGGGCUGCCUCUUGGACUCCCCGGCCCUACAGUGAAUAAGGGUCCAUGCGGUCGGGUGCGGCAGAGACUUGGAUGCGGAAUUGGGGCACACCUGGCCGGACCCACGCCCGCUCCGCCGCGCUCUCGGAGGUGGUGGGAGCAGGGGCACGUGACCUCCAGUAACCCCUGCGGACGUCGGCGCCGAGCGGGUUGAGGGCCGGCGUCCGCGAGUAACCCCGGCCCCAUCCGGCCCUGCGGGGCUCAA